AUGAACGCUAGCUACAGGCUUAACACAUGCAAGUCGAGGGGCAGCAUUUUAGUUUGCUUGCAAACUGAAGAUGGCGACCGGCGCACGGGUGAGUAACACGUAUCCAACCUGCCGAUAACUCCGGGAUAGCCUUUCGAAAGAAAGAUUAAUACCGGAUAGUAUACGAAUAUCGCAUGAUAUUUUUAUUAAAGAAUUUCGGUUAUCGAUGGGGAUGCGUUCCAUUAGUUUGUUGGCGGGGUAACGGCCCACCAAGACUACGAUGGAUAGGGGUUCUGAGAGGAAGGUCCCCCACAUUGGAACUGAGACACGGUCCAAACUCCUACGGGAGGCAGCAGUGGGGAAUAUUGGUCAAUGGGCGCGAGCCUGAACCAGCCAAGUAGCGUGAAGGAUGAAGGCUCUAUGGGUCGUAAACUUCUUUUAUAUGGGAAUAAAGUUUUCCACGUGUGGAAUUUUGUAUGUACCAUAUGAAUAAGGAUCGGCUAACUCCGUGCCAGCAGCCGCGGUAAUACGGAGGAUCCGAGCGUUAUCCGGAUUUAUUGGGUUUAAAGGGAGCGUAGGUGGAUUGUUAAGUCAGUUGUGAAAGUUUGCGGCUCAACCGUAAAAUUGCAGUUGAAACUGGCAGUCUUGAGUACAGUAGAGGUGGGCGGAAUUCGUGGUGUAGCGGUGAAAUGCUUAGAUAUCACGAAGAACUCCGAUUGCGAAGGCAGCUCACUAGACUGUCACUGACACUGAUGCUCGAAAGUGUGGGUAUCAAACAGGAUUAGAUACCCUGGUAGUCCACACAGUAAACGAUGAAUACUCGCUGUUUGCGAUAUACAGUAAGCGGCCAAGCGAAAGCAUUAAGUAUUCCACCUGGGGAGUACGCCGGCAACGGUGAAACUCAAAGGAAUUGACGGGGGCCCGCACAAGCGGAGGAACAUGUGGUUUAAUUCGAUGAUACGCGAGGAACCUUACCCGGGCUUAAAUUGCAACAGAAUAUAUUGGAAACAGUAUAGCCGUAAGGCUGUUGUGAAGGUGCUGCAUGGUUGUCGUCAGCUCGUGCCGUGAGGUGUCGGCUUAAGUGCCAUAACGAGCGCAACCCUUAUCGAUAGUUACCAUCAGGUGAUGCUGGGGACUCUGUCGAGACUGCCGUCGUAAGAUGUGAGGAAGGUGGGGAUGACGUCAAAUCAGCACGGCCCUUACGUCCGGGGCUACACACGUGUUACAAUGGGGGGUACAGAAGGCGGCUACCUGGUGACAGGAUGCUAAUCCCAAAAACCUCUCUCAGUUCGGAUCGAAGUCUGCAACCCGACUUCGUGAAGCUGGAUUCGCUAGUAAUCGCGCAUCAGCCAUGGCGCGGUGAAUACGUUCCCGGGCCUUGUACACACCGCCCGUCACACCAUGAGAGUUGGCAACACCCGAAGCCGGCGGCCCAACCCGCAAGGGAGGGAGCUGUCUAAGGUGGGGCUGAUGAUUGGGGUG
rnacentral:rRNA from 1 species